rfam:Ictidomys tridecemlineatus contig033519, whole genome shotgun sequence.
GGGCCUGUGGCUCAGUGGUAGAGUGCUCACCUAGUAUGGGUGAGACACAGGAUUCAAUCCUCAGCACCA